GAGCUCGUAGGUGGUUGGUCACGUCUGCUGUGGAAACGCAACGCUUAACGUUGCGCGUGCAGUGGGUACGGGCUGACUAGAGUGCAGUAGGGGAGUCUGGAAUUCCUGGUGUAGCGGUGAAAUGCGCAGAUAUCAGGAGGAACACCGGUGGCGAAGGCGGGACUCUGGGCUGUAACUGACACUGAGGAGCGAAAGCAUGGGGAGCGAACAGGAUUAGAUACCCUGGUAGUCCAUGCCGUAAACGUUGGGCACUAGGUGUGGGGGACAUUCCACGUUCUCCGCGCCGUAGCUAACGCAUUAAGUGCCCCGCCUGGGGAGUACGGUCGCAAGGCUAAAACUCAAAGGAAUUGACGGGGGCCCGCACAAGCGGCGGAGCAUGCGGAUUAAUUCGAUGCAACGCGAAGAACCUUACCAAGGCUUGACAUACACUGGACCGUUCUGGAAACAGUUCUUCUCUUUGGAGCUGGUGUACAGGUGGUGCAUGGUUGUCGUCAGCUCGUGUCGUGAGAUGUUGGGUUAAGUCCCGCAACGAGCGCAACCCUCGUUCUAUGUUGCCAGCACGUGAUGGUGGGAACUCAUAGGAGACUGCCGGGGUCAACUCGGAGGAAGGUGGGGAUGACGUCAAAUCAUCAUGCCCUUUAUGUCUUGGGCUUCACGCAUGCUACAAUGGCUGGUACAGAGAGAGGCGAACCCGUGAGGGUAAGCGAAUCCCUUAAAGCCAGUCUCAGUUCGGAUCGUAGUCUGCAAUUCGACUACGUGAAGUCGGAGUCGCUAGUAAUCGCAGAUCAGCAACGCUGCGGUGAAUACGUUCCCGGGCCUUGUACACACCGCCCGUCAAGUCACGAAAGUCGGUAACACCCGAAGCCGGUGUCCCAACCCUUUUGGGAGGGGGCCGUCUAAGGUGGGACUGGUGAU
rnacentral:rRNA from 1 species